rnacentral:rRNA from 1 species
UACGUAGGGGGCUAGCGUUGUCCGGAAUCAUUGGGCGUAAAGCGCGUGUAGGCGGUCCGGUAAGUCCGCUGUGAAAGUCGGGGGCUCAACCCUCGAAUGCCGGUGGAUACUGUCGGGCUAGAGUGCGGAAGAGGCGAGUGGAAUUCCUGGUGUAGCGGUGAAAUGCGCAGAUAUCAGGAGGAACACCAAUUGCGAAGGCAGCUCGCUGGGACGUUACUGACGCUGAGGCGCGAAAGCUAGGGGAGCAAACAGG